rnacentral:rRNA from 1 species
GACGUAGGGCGCGAGCGUUGUCCGGAUUUAUUGGGCGUAAAGAGCUCGUAGGUGGUUUGUCGCGUUGUUCGUGAAAACCGGGGGCUUAACCCUCGGCGUGCGGGCGAUACGGGCAGACUUGAGUACUGCAGGGGAGACUGGAAUUCCUGGUGUAGCGGUGGAAUGCGCAGAUAUCAGGAGGAACACCCGUAGCGAAGGCGGCACUCUGGGCCGAUACUGACACUGAGGAGCGAAAGCGUGGGGAGCGAACAGG